GCACAGCACUCGUCUGCAAGGACACAGGGGGCUGUCAGAGAGGUCACCCCACCACCACACCCCACAGAAAUCCCCCUCUGGAGCGGGGAGUGGAGCCCUGGCAUGGGUGGUUCUCCCAUCUUUUCCCUUCCGCCUUUUGUGGCUUCGAUUCAUCACUCGGUCCCGAGCCCGAGGUUCAGCCUUGCCCUGCUCCCAGGGCUCACUGGCACUGGGGCUGCAGUGACAAGUGUCCUAAACCAGUGCCAUUAGGUGUGUGGGAUGUGUCAGUGCCUCUGCUGAGCGCUGGGAUGGGUCCAUGGCAGCCUUGGCAGGCGUUUUGGGGAUCCCACUGCUGCUCUCACUGCAGCUCUGCUGACAUGGCAGGCUGCUCCCACCCCCAGCAGCCUAAAAACAGGGAAAAGCAUUAAUUCAUGGCAAAACAGCUCUGCCUUGGGUACAGGUGUUCAAUCACUGCUCUUUCUGUCCCCAUUGCAGGUGACAGCGGGUGGCACUGGCAGCAGGGUGGCCUGUGCCAGCAGGGACACGUGCCAGCCCAGGCAGGGGCAUGGCCAGGGCAGAGAGGGGACCUUCCUCCUGCAGCACCCAGCUGGUGACAGCGCUCAAACAGCUGAGGACACCUCAGGCCCAGCCACGUCAGCUGCUGUCCCUUGCCAGCACACUGCAGGGACUGCUGCUGGCUCUGGGGAGCCACCCUGCAGUGACACCCCUCAGCUCCCAGGGCAGCUCUCACUCCCACCUCCCUGGAAAGCCUGGCUUUUAUAACCUGUGUGGGAGCUGCUCUGAGGAGGGCAGGCCCCACUCCCACCCUUGUCCAGCCCUCGUGUCCUGGUGGGACAUUCUGGUUAGCAGAGCACAGUUUGCUUUUUUAUUUUUCCCCCUCUACCUGAGCUUUUUGGCAGCCAUGGUUGUUACAGACACAACCCCAGCACAGCUUUCCAUUUACCUCCCUCCCCAAAGAGAUCACAGUCUGCUUCUGUUUGUAAUAAUAUAAUUAUUAUAAUAAUAAUGUAAAUUAUUCUGCAGGAACCACAGGCAGGCUGAGCAGGGGAGGAGGAAUUGGAUUUACUCUGUGAUGCCAAUGGGGGGUCCCAACAGGUAAAAACUCCCUCCCAUGAGUGGUGCUGUCCCACUGCCCUGCAUCUCCCCCUGCUCUGACUGCUGAGCUGGACUGGCUGCUGCUGGUGCCACUGCCACUGCCAGCUGUGUCCCAGCAGCUGCCACUGCUCCAGGCAGGGACACACUGGUGCUGCAGAGGGACAGGCCAGGCACCCCCUGCCACCCUGGUGGGAGUGCUUCUCCUGGGGCUGUGCAGGGAUGAGAAAUCAGAAUCUCAUUUAUAGCCUAUUUAUGCACUGAGCAAUGCAAAUGCUGUCCCAGCAAUAAAUGAAUUCCUGACAUGCAGUGUAAAAGGAGCAGCAGUGCAGAAGCUGCUGAAAUGGAGAGGCUGCUCCAGCAGGGAAAUCUGCUCCUCUCCAGAGCCCUCCAAGGUACUGAGACCUGCACAGGCAAGAGCUGCUCCAGAGCUUAAGGUUCUCUUUAAUUGUGGUGGCUCAAAUCCCCUAAAAACUCACAGUUCCUGCUGGAAACAAGUGAUGAGCUGCUCCGACUGUUAAUCCCUGUGGAGAAGUGUGAAGCUCUUUUUCAGGACAAAGUGACAGGAAAAAGGCACAACCAGGCUGGGUGCAGAGCCUGUGCUAGAAGAGGAGGGACAGAUUUUCCACAGAGGGACAGAUUCCUUCCCAUCUCCAUGAGGACCCCAUGUGCUUUUUCAUGGGCUCAGGGCUGCUGAUCUGCAAACUUGGCCCCAAUGGGCAAACCCCAGAUGACACCAGGGACCCAGGGCUGAACUGAUGCAGUGAGAAACCAGCAGUGAAGACUUAAUAAAAGGGGCCGUGAUGGGAUUUAAGCAAUCACACGCGGACCUGGUGUCCUGGGAGAGAUAACAGCACAGCUCCAUGGCAGGCUGAGAAAUCCAGGGGCUGGCAGACACCCUUUGUGCCCGGCACAGCCCCGAGCUCCGGGAUGCAGCCCCGGCUUGGGGAUGCGGCCGCACCGUGACCCGGAGCAAGUCCAAGCCCGUGUGUUGCGAGCAGGGGCAGGGAUUUCACACCCACAGCCUCGGGAUCUUACGGGUUUUUUCGGUCUCCAGGAGCUCAGCUCUUCCCCCGAGCGGUCCCACGUCCAUCAGCCGCAUAAAGAACCAGAUCCUUUUCAAAAUGUAGCAAAAAAUGCCUUUAUCCUGCGCUAAU